AUAUUCCCUGUCUAUAGUCGCAUUUUUUUCUCUCAAUUGAUGCUUAAAAUUAUUUUGCAAGUUGGAAAAAAAUGCAGUUUUAAUUUCAUUUGCACCAAAUUUAAUAGAUUAAUUAGGAGAGAAUAGAUCUCUUUAAAAUUGAGUCUUCCUCUCCAACUGCAAGUUUUAACUGAGGUGUUACCAGCUUAAGAAGUAAGAUAUUUUAGAUGCUUCACUACCUGACAUUUCCAUAUCAAUCCAAAUUCUUAUACUUGUUUAUCAUUUCUGUGGACUUCACUCUUCAACAGUGCUGCAUGUUUCAUAAGCAAGGACCAAAGAGACUUUGACCACAGGUGGUGAACAAGUAUACAAGAGGAUCAUAGAUACCUUCCUGCAGUGGUUCCAUCCACAGCAUCGCCAAAUUGAUGUUAUUUCCCUCUUUUUGAAGCUCAUUGCAUCAUUGUAUCUCAAAGGGCACAAGUUAUAAAUAUAAAUAUAGGUAUAAAUGUAAAUAUAUAGAUAUAAAUAUAAAUAUAAAUAUAUAAAUAUAAAUAUAAACAUAAAUCUCCCCAGGAAUAGAAGUGGUCUGCUUUUUGGCAAGUAAUGGCCAAGAAUGUUAAGUACUUCUUUAUUCUCUGACUAUAUCUUGAGCUUUUCUCUAUUGUUAUUUACUUCAUUGAUUUUUUUUUUCUCUGUGUUUUACUUUACAAGUGGGAAUGAGAUUUGCAUGUGGUAAAUGUAAUUAAUGCAACCCCAUGGACACCUUGGUCAUACCAUAGAUUAUAACCAGGCUAUCUCACAAGCUGAGUACCUCCCAUGUGCCAGUUUGGAUACCAUUUGUAAAAUGCGUUGUUCGUCAUUUGAAUCAUGAGCCCUCAGUUGUUAGAGUGGUUGGUCCAAAACAGUAGCCUCUUAAAACAUUUGUGUUACAUGCAAAUAGAUAUUCUGUAGUUUUAGUUUUUAUUCAACCUAGUAGAUCUCACUCUAGAACACGAUCAGAGCCUGACCAUAGUUGACCUCUUCCUUAGUACCCAAAUUUAAGACUUGGAUGCUGUCACAACUCUGGUUGUUUAAGGUAGAACCAGACUCUUUAACUGACAUUUUUAGCCUUGGCAAUGCCAUCCUGUAGAACACAUGGUUCUAUGAUUUUAUUGGUAUCACUGGAAUUUUGAAAUUGGAGUAAAGAACUCAAGGCAACCAAGAUAUUUCACUUUUAUUCACAUUAUCCUGACUUUUAUUUGUUUUCUGUUUAAUCUAAAUAGGCUUAAUACAGAUGGCUGUGCUUAUUGGAAGUUUUAAUUGACUACUUCUAAAACAUAAACUGUAUUGUAAUCAGGGAACUACUAUCUGCAUUGCCCAACUUGUCUUAGUAGACAGGUUUGACACAUAGCACACUGAAAUAGGGCCAAUAAUAGGAUUAUUAAACAGUUUAAAGCAAAAUUUGGUCAUUCAUCCUUCAUCUUUCAUUCCUACUUCCUAGGUGUAACAAGCAUUAAUCAGUUAUGCUACAGUUAAUAUUUCUAAGCUCAUACAGUUUAUGCGCAAUUUAUUUUACAAAUAAGACAUUAUGGUUUUUGCAGCUAUAUUUUUUGUUAAAUAUACUGUGGAUGUAUUUCUAACCCAAUAAAUGUAGUUUCUCUACAGACUUUUCAUUUGAUGGAAAGUACAUAUCCUAAUGGGUUUAUCCAUUUCUCCAUCUUGGGAAAUUCAGAUUAAAUAUUAUAUACAUAUAUAUAUGUAUAUAAUAUUUUAAUACAUAACAUUUUAUGCAUAUAUAUUAUGCACUUGGGAUCCUAAUUCUGUAAGAUAGAUUUCUAGUUGUGGCAUUGUUGGAUCAUCAGUUCUGCAUACUUGUGAUUUCAGUAGGUAUUAUGAAAUUGCCCUUGAAAUGUUUUCUAGGUCAGAACACAGCUGUGGUGUAUUGGUAGUGAUAAUUUUCACGAAAAACUUAUGCUAGAUAGAUAUUAUCAAUUCUUUAAAUUUUUAAUCAAUCUAAUUAGGUGAAAGUCACAUUUUUAACAUAAGCCUAAUUUAAACAGUAAAUGGCCAUGGAUUAAAAAAAAGACAAAUAGUGAUGAAUUAUUUAAGACAAAAAACAAUGGUAGUACACAUUUCUUCCAAUCACAAGAGUCCUCCUAUUUUUUAGUUAGAAACCAAUGAUCUUUUCUAAGCAUAAUGCUUCUUGGAAGUUUAUGAAUACCUUAUUCCAGUUUUUUUUUUACGUUUUAUUUUUGAAAUAAUUUUAUAUUUAGAAUUGUAAGAAUCUUACAGAGGUGCCCCCCAUGUACUCUUACUGAGACUUUUUCUACAUUGUUUGUUCUUUCUCUUCUUUACUGCUCUCCUCCUUUGUCUAUUUUUCCCUCUUUAUUCUCUUUUCUCUGUCUCCACAAUCCCAUAUUGUUUUUAUUUUAUUCAUUUUUUUGGGAGAGAUAGAGUGAGAGAGAGUUUGAGUGGUGAAGGGGCAGAGAGGGAGGAAAAUACCAAAUCUGAAGCAGGCUCCAGGCUCUGAGUUGUCAGCAAAGAGCCCAACGUGGGACUCGAACUCAGGAACCACCAGAUGAUGACCUGAGCCAAAGUCGGAUGCUUAACCGACUGAGCCACCGAGGCACUCCUUUAUUAAAUAUUUUUGAGUAAGGUAGAGAUAUUAUGUCUCUUUAACCCAAAUGCCUCAGCAUUCACUCUCUGAGAACCUGAAAAUCCUCUUAUAUUAAUUUUGGUGCAAUUUUUUGAAUCAUGAAAUUUGUUAGUAGUAUAAACAUACUACAUUAAUAACAGUCUAUCAUUAAGUUCACCAGUCUAAUACUGUUCUUUAUGGCAAUUUCUUUCAUCCUUCAGGACCUGGGAAAAAAAGAUCUUGUAUUGUGUUCAAGCGUCAUGUUUGUCUAGUCUUAUUUAAUCUGGAGCAGUUUCUCAUUAAUUUUUGUCCUUUAAUGAUGAUUGUAUUUUUGAAAAAGUAUUGGAUAAUAGUUUUUUAAAACAUCCCUAAAAUUUUGAUUUGUUUUGUUUCAUCCUGAAUAGGUUUAGGUUAUGCAUUUUUGACAAGAAUAACUGAUGUGUGUCUACCUCUUAUCAACUGGAAAAUGAUAUCACUUUAUCCUAUUAUUGGUGACAUUAAUUUUGAUUACUUGGUUUAGUUGAUGUCCACUAUCUUUUUUAAAGUUAACAUUCCUUUGUAAUUAAUAGUUUUUCUGUGGGAAGAUCAUUUGAGAGUAUAAAUUUCCUAUUUGUCAUCAAACUUUUACAUUAGUAAUUUUAGUAGUUACAGGUGAUUCUUAACAGUAUCACUGGUGAUUUUCCAAAAUCUCUGUUCUUGGUUAUGCAUAUUAGUUGGUAGUUAGGAGGAAUUUAUGUAUCAUGGUUUGUGAGAAAUAUUUAUUAAACUAUUUACUGAAAAUAUUUAGCAAAAAAAAAAUGAGAUGGUGAUGGACAGAAAAAUGCAGGGGAAGGGUUAAUUGAAGGGUUUAAUGAAGUUUACGUCUAAACUAUGGAGUAAAAUGUGGAUGGCACAUAGAACUCUUUCAUACAUGGUUUAUGGAAUGCAUUCACAUGGCAGAGGGAGAAAAGCAUGUUUUGAGUCAUGAGUUCCAGCUAGAGAAUGUGACAGUGCCAUUAUUAUUAUUGGGAAGGUGUUCAACAAUUUUUUUGAACUGACUGUGAGGCAUAGCAGUAGAGUCCAGGUUCAGAUGCACUUGCUACUCUAGUUAGGUGGUAAAUCAAUAGUGUUCCUGUUUUGUUUGUCAUUACUUUGUUUCUAUAACCCUUUAGAGAUCUGAGAUUGAUGGGAAAUGACUGUAUUUAAGGUGCUUUCUAAAGAUGAACACUCGGCCUUCUGAACUUUUAUUCAUGUUUCAACUUUCACUGUUCUUCCAGCCUUCUAUGGUAAUCCCUGUAUGGUGAUAUAGACUGCUGCAGUGGUUAUGUUGGCUAAAACCUAUCCCUAAAUUCUGUUCUAUGUUCUCUGUAACCAGGGAUCUUUAAGACAUCUACUACUCACAGUCACAAAUUUUAUGCUAGUUAAGUAAGGUUUCCAGUAUAAAGACAUUUUAAGUUUUCAAAAAUGAUUUGGCUGAAUUGAUGAAAUAUUUUUAGUCAUCUGAAUGUGAUUGUCAGAGGUAUGGGCCAUCUGAUACGAAUAGAACUGUCCUACAAAUUUAUAAAUUAUAAACUAAUGCAGUGUAUUUACAGGGGCUAUAUCUAAGGCUUUGGAUCAAAAUGGUGAUCUGAAUACUCCUGGCCUCUGUAUCCAACUUUGCAUUUAGUCUUUAAUGACAAGUUCAUUAGCAGAGGCUCAGCAAAUAUUAUCAUUAAGUAUAUAAUGGAGAAAGUGGAAGUAGGCCAAAAUUACUGAUUGUAAUCAAAUGGAAUAUUAAUUAAAUGAAUGUGCAAAUAAAUAGGUAAAAAGUAAUCAGUGAAGAAACUUUCCAGGUGAAGGAGAAAAAAAAAUAAGUAGGAAGCCAGGGACCAGGGAAAGUCUGUUAUUAUGUUAAUAUAGUUUCUUUCAUACAUAACAUAAUAAGGGUAUCUUGGAAAUUUUGGCAUUUUCCUGGCUAAAACACUUUCCUCUUUUUUAUGAGGCCACAUGUAUCAAAUUAUUGUUUUUAUAUUUUUAUUAAGACAGUUUUAUUACCAGGUUCAAAAAUUGAGCCUCAAAAUUUUAUAAUCUCCAUGAUGUGAAGGGAGUUUUUAAAAAAUAAAUGGAGAUCACAACAGGAGAGCCUGUUACUGUUUAUUUUCUGUGAUGAUGAUAGAAACUGUGCUGCCAAAACCUUUUUCAUACAGGAAGAAGUGUAGAGAAGUCCGAAAGAGAACUCAGCCUUUCAAAUGUCAAAUCUAAAUGGAAUCAAUAUGUCCUUAUCCUGGAGAAUACGUAAAGGAACAACAUAGCUGUAUCUUUUUCAUGAAGAAAGGCAUUUUCAAAGUGUAGCAGUCCAUGAAGUUGAAGUGAGAAUGCAGAUGACAGUAAACACAUGGCUGAGCCCAAAACACUGACUUCCCCUUAAAAAAAAGGCCCAGGAAUUAUAGUGAAGUCUCUGUAAUCAGGUGAAGCUUCUUCCUCCCAGAGAGAGCAGUGUGAGGUAGACUAAGAAAAAAAGUUAAGGAGAAGAUUAUAGCCUCCUAUCUCUUCCUAUAUUAAGAGUUUUACUACUCUGGUAAAUAAUUUGCACAAAAAUCCAGGACUGUAGCUAUUCUGAUAAUUGGUUUAAUAGGCGAGCACAUUAGGUUAGUUCCGAGGCAAAACUAUGCAACUGAUUUAAAAUACCAGCUUUGUGUUUAUUUGACAGUUUCAGAUAAUUCUGUAUUAUGUUGUUCUACAUAGUUAAUCAUAUUAGAUCAUAUAGCAACUAUAUUAUCUUUAAUUUUACCACAAAAUAAAUUCAAAAAUUGGUAUAUCCUUCAUAUUCAAGAAUUAUAGACCCUAAAAAGUCUUUCCUCCCACAAUUUCUCAUUCAACAUUUUCCAAGGUAGAGUGUUUUAAUUUAGUGCUUGGGGCAAGAAUUAUUGCCCUGUUCAAUGACUGUAUUUUAUUCAUUACUAACAUGACAACUACUUUUUUUUUAAUUUCAAUUUUUGGCUUCUACCAUUAUUAAAUUUUCUAUAUUUUUAUAUAUUCAAACAAGUUAGAUAAGAUAAGGGUUACUGGAUAAAGUAUUAAUAAGGUAGCAAAAGAGGAAGUAAGAAGGCAAGUUACAUGGUUAUUUAAUAUUCAUAUGAUAGGUGUACUAGGUUGAUGGCAUAGAAUUAUUGAGAUGCAAUGGGAUUUAGGAUGUAUUCUGAAAGUAUUGUCCUAUUUGAUAAAGUAUUGAAUGAUACUGGGGGAGACAAGAAGAUUCAUAUAGGAUAUAUGAUCAGGACCUCAACAAUUGACUAAUGGUGAUACCAUUUACUAUGUUGGGCAAAAUUGAGUUUCUUAAAAUGCAUAAGAGAGAUCUGUUUUGCCUGUUUUAUAUUUAUAUUAAACUUAAGGGUUAAUAUUUUUGUAUAGAAAUAUGACUUGGGGACAGGAGCCAAAUUGGGGAUUUAGAUAUUACUUUGGAUGAAUCAGUACAAGACUUACGUAUGGACAUGUGAAAUCAUGAGAUCUAGAGAUGGCAUAUAUUUGGGAGUAAGAAUAUAUUCACCUUAGGAUUGUCUCAUGGAUGCUUUAGAAUUUAGAUAUGAGUAAAUGAGAAUCCAUUGUCAACAUUGUCAAGAGUAGCUAGCGUCUUUGAGUAAACACUAAAGGAUUUUGUUGUACUUGAAGGGAAAUGAAUGCAUUUCAAAAAAUAAUGGGGUAGCAGUUGGCUUUCACAUGACAUUGAAAUGCACAGUUAAUUUUGGAAAUAAAGAGAAUGUCAUUGAUUUUAAAUAAAAACACUAUAUGGUGGGGGAUGGUUGGUAGUACUUUUAAUCAAAGGAGCACUGUAAGUCCAUAAUGCACCUUGUAAUAUUGUUACCAGUGUCAACCUGACACAUACACAUGCUGAUAUCUUGUGAGUCGCUUGCAUGAAUCAUAAUAAAAUAAAGAUGCAUCUCAAUUGCA